UGGGUAUCACUGGACUAUCACGUACUGCAGGAGGAAGAUACAGGCGGCCAGUGUCUUCUCUGGUUUCUGGGUUGGUGACUUUGAAGUUGCUACAGCUCCCACGCCCUCAGCGAGCAGAGUUGCCAAGCAAGUGUGCCGGCUUCCAGAAGCCUGAGCUGCCCAUUGGCGCUGGGGAACCACCCCGGUGUCCCCAUCCUCUGCGCUGCUGCAGAUUGGUGGGGCAGCCCGGGGAGGCUGGCUCCGAGACGUGACUGAGCGUGCCUACACUGGUCCCACAGGUUUUCAGCUGUGGAGUUUGGGAUCUGAGCUUGGAGCCCAUUUGUUUCUGGCAGUUCGGUUCAUAUUUUCCACUUGAAGACAUCACUUCCCUUCCUUCCAAGCUGGGAGACCAGAAGUCAACAACAGGAGGGUGGAGAGGCCAGAUCUCACAAUCCGCUUGGCUGCGGAGUCCGCUGAGGUUCUUGCAUCCUGAAGUAAACUAUGGAGAGCUGGUGGGGACUUCCUUGUCUUGCGUUCCUGUGUUUUCUAAUGCACGCCCGAGGUCAAAGAGACUUUGACUUGGCGGACGCCCUUGAUGACCCUGAGGAAGACUCCAUUGGGCUUUAGCAUUGGGAACAACUGGUCGACCAGGACAGUUACAUAAUGGUGUUUGUUGGAGGAAGAGAGAAUGAUAACCACAUCUGAUCCUAAAAAGCCGACAACAAGACAGUAGGAACUCAUCUCUCUCCCAGUUUUCUGCGCACAGUGAUGUUUUUGCUAAUAAUGAUCCCACAAAGCAGAUACAAAAUUGUUGUCAGUGCAAGAGGAAAAUGUAAUGACCCACCCCAACAUGAAGAUGCCGUUUCUCCCAUCAAGUUAGAAAUGAUGAAGGUUGAAUCCUACCCUGUCAACGCAGACUGAGGGGUGGGAGUUGGAGGCAGGUGUGUGGUUGCAACCACUUUGGAAGCAUUGGGAGAUUUUCUCCAAAAUUCAGAACGAGUGUGUAACACCAGCAUUUGGUUUGGACAAAGAAUGAGGCAUAGCUGCAAGAGAACCCUGUGCAAUAGUGAAGGAGGGGCUGGCUGGUAGGCUCAGAUACAGAACAAGACAUGUUACUGAUCUGGAAGAUCACUGACAUGUGAUCCAGGAGUUCCACUCCUAGGCAGGUACCCAGGAGAAUUGGGAGCAGGGACUCAAACAGCUAUUUGUGGACCCAUGUUGACAGCAGCAAUCUUCACAAUAAGCCAAAGGUGGAAACAGCACAACUGUCCAUCAGGAGAUGAAUGAAUGAACACAAUGUGGUCCCUCCAUGCAACAGAAUAUUAUUUGGCUGUAAAAAGGAAGAGGGGUUCUGAUACAUGCUACACGCGCUUUGAAAAUGUGCUCAGUGAAAGAAGCCAGGCACAAAAGGCCACAGGGUGUAGGAUCCCAUUAAUGUGAAAUAUCCAGAACAGGCAAAUUCAGAGAGACAGAAAGUGGCUUAGCGAUUGUUGGGCUGGAAGAGGGGAGAAAAGGGAGGGACUGCUCGUGGUUAUGGGGUCUCCUUUUGGGGGGAUGAAACUGUUCUGGAACAGAUAGAGGUGGUGAUUGUACAGUAUUGUGAAGAUAUGAAACACCAUUGAAUUGUACACUUUAAAAUGUCAAAUUUUAUGAUACGUGAGUUUCAUGUUGAUUUUUUAAAAAUCACAGAAAUAAACUUCCUUUCCAC
ensembl:lincRNA